rnacentral:tRNA from 1 species
GCCUGGGUGGCUCAGUUGGUUGAGCAUCUGACUGUGGCUCAGGUCUUGAUCUUGCGUUCGUGAGUUCAAGCCCCGCGUUGGGCU